rnacentral:rRNA from 1 species
ACGCUGACGAGUGGCGAACGGGUGAGUAAUACAUCGGAACGUGCCCAGUCGUGGGGGAUAACUACUCGAAAGAGUAGCUAAUACCGCAUACGAUCUGAGGAUGAAAGCGGGGGACCUUCGGGCCUCGCGCGAUUGGAGCGGCCGAUGGCAGAUUAGGUAGUUGGUGGGAUAAAAGCUUACCAAGCCGACGAUCUGUAGCUGGUCUGAGAGGACGACCAGCCACACUGGGACUGAGACACGGCCCAGACUCCUACGGGAGGCAGCAGUGGGGAAUUUUGGACAAUGGGCGAAAGCCUGAUCCAGCAAUGCCGCGUGCAGGAUGAAGGCCUUCGGGUUGUAAACUGCUUUUGUACGGAACGAAAAAGCUUCUCCUAAUACGAGAGGCCCAUGACGGUWCCGUAAGAAUAAGCACCGGCUAACUACGUGCCAGCAGCCGCGGUAAUACGUA